rnacentral:rRNA from 1 species
AACGAACGCUGGCGGCAGGCCUAACACAUGCAAGUCGAGCGCGCCCUUCGGGGUGAGCGGCGGACGGGUUAGUAACGCGUGGGAAUAUACCCUUUGGUACGGAAUAGCCUCUGGAAACGGAGAGUAAUACCGUAUGUGCCCUUCGGGGGAAAGAUCUAUCGCCAAAGGAUUAGCCCGCGUUAGAUUAGGUAGUUGGUGGGGUAAUGGCCUACCAAGCCUACGAUCUAUAGCUGGUUUUAGAGGAUGAUCAGCAACACUGGGACUGAGACACGGCCCAGACUCCUACGGGAGGCAGCAGUGGGGAAUCUUGGACAAUGGGGGCAACCCUGAUCCAGCCAUGCCGCGUGAGUGAUGAAGGCCUUAGGGUCGUAAAGCUCUUUCGCCUGUGAAGAUAAUGACGGUAGCAGGUAAAGAAACCCCGGCUAACUCCGUGCCAGCAGCCGCGGUAAUACGGAGGGGGUUAGCGUUGUUCGGAAUUACUGGGCGUAAAGUGCACGUAGGCGGACUGGAAAGUUGGGGGUGAAAUCCCAGGGCUCAACCCUGGAACUGCCUCCAAAACUAUCAGUCUAGAGUUCGAGAGAGGUGAGUGGAAUUCCAAGUGUAGAGGUGAAAUUCGUAGAUAUUUGGAGGAACACCAGUGGCGAAGGCGGCUCACUGGCUCGAUACUGACGCUGAGGUGCGAAAGUGUGGGGAGCAAACAGGAUUAGAUACCCUGGUAGUCCACACCGUAAACGAUGAAUGCCAGUCGUCGGGUAGCAUGCUAUUCGGUGACACACCUAACGGAUUAAGCAUUCCGCCUG